rnacentral:rRNA from 1 species
UACGUAGGGGGCAAGCGUUGUCCGGAUUCAUUGGGCGUAAAGGGCGCGUAGGCGGGAUGGCAAGUCGGUCGUGAAAUCCCUCGGCUCAACUGAGGAUCGUCGAUCGAUACUGCCGUUCUUGAGGAUUGCAGAGGAGACUGGAAUUCCCGGUGUAGCGGUGAAAUGUGUAGAGAUCGGGAGGAACACCGGUGGCGAAGGCGGGUCUCUGGGCAAUUCCUGACGCUGAGGCGCGAAAGCGUGGGGAGCAAACGGG